GUUUGAUGAACCGUUUUGGUAGCGAUACCGAUGUAUUGGAUCGAUCGCUAUUUUUUACUAUCAAUUUAACUACAGAUACUUUAUUACAAUUGAUUGGUAUGAUAAUAACCAUAUCGAUAAAGACACCAUUGUUUUUGGCACCACUGGCACUGGUAGCUGUUAUUUACUAUAUAGUCCAGUUUAUUUACAUUAAAACUUCACGACA